rnacentral:rRNA from 1 species
GACGAACGCUAGCGGCAGGCCUAACACAUGCAAGUCGAACGGUAAGGCUCUCUUCGGAGAGUACACGAGUGGCGCACGGGUGCGUAACACGUAUAUAACCUACCUAAAAGCGGGGGAAAGUCGCGGGAAACUGCGAAUAAUACCCCAUAAGAUCUUAAAGUGGCAUCACUUAGAGAUAAAAGUUCCGGCGCUUUUAGAUGGGUAUGCGUCCCAUUAGCUAGUUGGUAAAGUAACGGUUUACCAAGGCAACGAUGGGUAGCUGGUCUGAGAGGAUGAUCAGCCACACGGGCACUGAGACACGGGCCCGACUCCUACGGGAGGCAGCAGUGAGGAAUAUUGGACAAUGGGGGCAACCCUGAUCCAGCCAUGCCGCGUGAAGGAAGAAGGUUCUCUGAAUCGUAAACUUCUUUUGUUAGGGAAUAAUUAGGUUGUAUACCAACCUUUGUAGGUACCUGAAGAAUAAGCACCGGCUAACUACG